rnacentral:rRNA from 1 species
GGCCGUAACGGCCUCGACCUAUUCUCGAACUCCGAACGGGCAAGGAGCCGGGGUCGCCCGAUCGGACCCCCGGACGUGAAGUCGACGAUGGUCGGUGGGCUGGUUUUGGUAAGCAGAACGGGCGAUUCGGGAUGAACCGGAAGCGGGGAGAAAGGGCCCGAGAUUGCGUCGACGCGGAUCCCGAAAAGGGCGUCGAUCCGUCGCGACAGCGGGACGGUGGUCAUGGAAGUCGAAAUCCGCUAAGAAGCGUGUAAAAACGUACCCGCCCAACGGAUCGGCCCCGAAAAUUGAUGGCGCUCGAACGCAACCCUCGAACCCCGCCGACGGAGGCUAGGGGAGGCCCCGUCGAGUAGGCGGACGCGCGGGUCGCUUCGACGCUCCCGCGCGAGCGGGGGCGGAGCGGCCCGUGGUGCAGAUCUUGGUGGUAGUAGCGAUCACCCAGGCGAGAACCCUGAGGGCCGAAGUGGAGAAGGGGUUUCUCGAGAACGGCACUCGCUCGAGAGUUAGUCGAUCCUAAGCUGCCGGCGGCAGCCACGAAACGGUCGAUCGGGCGCGAGCCCGGCAGCCACGACCGGGCAGCG